rnacentral:rRNA from 1 species
GGUAUGCUUAACACAUGCAAGUCGAACGGAAACGAAACUAGCUUGCUAGUAGGCGUCGAGUGGCGGACGGGUGAGUAACGCGUAGGAAUCUGCCUGAUAGUGGGGGAUAGCCCGAAGAAAUUCGGAUUAAUACCGCAUAAUCUAUUCGUAGUAAAGUGAGGGACUUUCGAGCCUCACGCUAUCAGAUGAGCCUGCGUAAGAUUAGCUUGUUGGUAGGGUAAAAGCUUACCAAGGCAACGAUCUUUAGCUGGUCUGAGAGGAUGAUCAGCCACAUCGGGACUGAGACACGGCCCGAACUCCUACGGGAGGCAGCAGUGGGGAAUAUUGGACAAUGGGGGCAACCCUGAUCCAGCAAUACCGCGUGUGUGAAGAAGGCCUGAGGGUUGUAAAGCACUUUCAAUUGUGAAGAAAAGUUAACGGUUAAUAAUCGUUAACCUUGACGUUAACUUUAGAAGAAGCACCGGCUAACUCCGUGCCAGCAGCCGCGGUAAUACGGAGGGUGCAAGCGUUAAUCGGAAUUACUGGGCGUAAAGCGUGCGUAGGCGGUUUAUUAAGUCAGAUGUGAAAGCCCCGGGCUUAACCUGGGAACUGCAUUUGAAACUGGUCAACUAGAGUAUGGUAGAGGAAAGUGGAAUUUCUGGUGUAGCGGUGAAAUGCGUAGAUAUCAGAAGGAACAUCAAUGGCGAAGGCAGCUUUCUGGACCAAUACUGACGCUGAGGUACGAAAGCGUGGGUAGCAAACAGG